rnacentral:tRNA from 1 species
GGGAUUGUAGUUCAAUUGGUCAGAGCGCCGCCCUGUCAAGGCGGAAGCUGCGGGUUCGAACCCCGUCAGUCCCG